AGUUUGAUCCUGACUCAGGACGAACGCUGGCGGCGUGCCUAAUACGCGUCGAGCGAACAGAUGGGAGCUUGCUCCCUGAUGUUAGCGGCGGACGGUGAGUAACACGUGGGUAACCUGCCUGUAAGACUGGGAUAACUCCGGGAAACCGGGGCAUUGGAUGGUUGAACCGCAUGGUUCAAACAUAAAAGGUGGCUUCGGCUACCACUUACAGAUGGACCCGCGGCAUGAAUAAGUUGGUGAGGUAAUGGCUCACUAUGCAACGAUGCGUAGCCGUCCUGAGGGUGAUCGGCCACACUGGGACUGAGACACGGCCCAGACUCCUACGGAGGCAGUAGUAGGAAUCUUCCGCAAUGGACGAAAGUCUGACGGAGCAACGCCGCGGAGUGAUGAAGGUUUUCGGAUCGUAGCUCUUUUAGGGAAGAACAAGUACCGUUCAGGGCGGUACCUUGACGGUACUCUAACCAGAAAGCCACGGCUAACUUACGUGCCAGCAGCGCGGUAAUACGUAGGUGGCAGCGUUGUCCGGAAUUAUUAAGGCGAAGGGUCGCAGGCGGUUUCUUAAGUUCUGAUGUGAAAGCCCCGGCUCAACCGGGAGGUCAUUGAAACUGGGAAACUUGAGUGCAGAGGAGAGGAAUUCCACGUGUAGCGGUGAAAUGCGUAGAGAUGUGGAGGAACACCAGUGGCGAAGGCGACUCUGUCUGUAACUGACGCUGAGGAGCGAAAGCGGGGAGCGAACAGGAUAGAUAUCCUGGUAGUCCACGCCAAACGAUGAGUGCUAAGUGUUAGGGGGUUUCCGCCCUUAGUGCUGCAGCCAACGCAUUAAGCACUGCUCCUUGGAGUACGGUCGCAAGACUGAAAACUCAAAGGAAUUGACGGGGCCCGCAAGCGGUGGAGCAUGUGGUUUUCGAAGCAGCGCGAAGAACCUUACCAGGUCUGACAUCCCGACAAUCCUGAGAUAGACAGUUUCGGGGCAGAGUGACAGGUGGUGCAUGGUUGUCGUCAGCUCUGUCGAGAUGAGGUUAAGUCCCCACGAGCGCAACCCUUUCUAGUUGCCAGCAUUCAGUUGGGCACUCUAGGUGACUGCCGGUGACAAACCGGAGGAAGGUGGGAUGACGUCAAAUCAUCAUGCCCUUUUUGCCUUGGGUACACGUGCUACAAUGGACAGAACAAGGGCAGCGAAAACCGCGAGGUUAAGCCAUCCCAAAUCUGUUCUCAGUUCGGAUCGCGGUCUGCAACUCGACUGCGUGAAGCUGGAAUCGCUAGUAAUCGCGGAUCAGUAUGCCGCGGUGAAUACGUUCCGGCCUUGUACACCGCCCGUUUUACCACGAGGUUUUGGUGCUCCCGAAGUCGUUUAGGUUUGCUUUAGGAGUCAGCCGCCGGUGUGACAGAUGAUUGGGUGAAGUCGUAACAAAAGGUAGCCGUAUCGGGAGGUGCGGCUG
rnacentral:rRNA from 1 species